CCAGACUCCUACGGGAGGCAGCAGUGGGGAAUAUUGCACAAUGGGGGGAACCCUGAUGCAGCGAUGCCGCGUGGAGGAAGAAGGUUUUCGGAUUGUAAACUCCUUUUAUCAGGGACGAUAAUGACGGUACCUGAAGAAAAAGCUCCGGCUAACUACGUGCCAGCAGCCGCGGUAAUACGUAGGGAGCGAGCGUUGUCCGGAAUUACUGGGUGUAAAGGGAGCGUAGGCGGGACGGCAAGUCUGAAGUGAAAGCCCGGGGCUCAACCCCGGGACUGCUUUGGAAACUGCCUGACUGGAGUGCUGGAGAGGCAAGCGGAAUUCCUAGUGUAGCGGUGAAAUGCGUAGAUAUUAGGAGGAACACCAGUGGCGAAGGCGGCUUGCUGGACAGUAACUGACGUUGAGGCUCGAAAGCGUGGGGAGCAAACAGGAUUAGAUACCCUUGUAC
rnacentral:rRNA from 1 species